AAGUCGUAACAAGGUUUCCGUAGGUGAACCUGCGGAAGGAUCAUUAUCGAUUCAAACCAAAUGAGAGGGAAGUUGUUAUAGUAGUGCUGGCCUCUGUCAUGGAGGUAUUGUGCACGCUCGACUUCUUCCUUUCUUCAUUUACACACCUGUGAACUUGUUGUAGGGUUGUCUCGCAAGAGACGCUCUAUGUCUUUCUCAUAUACUCCAUAAUGUUUAUAGAAUGUACCUUUUUGCUCUCGUCAGAGACAAAAAUAAAGCCUUUAUAACUUUCAGCAACGGAUCUCUUGGCUCUC
rnacentral:misc_RNA from 2 species